UGGACCAGUGAUGAUGGCCAGUGGUGUAGGAGUCACGGACGAUGAAGCUCUGUGUCUGAAACUCUGAGGUCCAA
ensembl:snoRNA